rfam:Trichosporon oleaginosus strain IBC0246 unplaced genomic scaffold CC85scaffold_4, whole genome shotgun sequence.
GGGGGUGUAGCUCAGUGGCAGAGCGUCUCAUUUGCACCGAACUUGAGAAGGCCUGGAGUUCAAUCCUCCACUCCUCCA